UACGGGGGGGGCAAGCGUUGUUCGGAAUUACUGGGCGUAAAGGGCUCGUAGGCGGCCAACUAAGUCAGACGUGAAAUCCCUCGGCUUAACCGGGGAACUGCGUCUGAUACUGGAUGGCUAGAGGUUGGGAGAGGGAUGCGGAAUUCCGGGUGUAGCGGUGAAAUGCGUAGAUAUCUGGAGGAACACCGGUGGCGAAGGCGGCAUCCUGGACCAAUUCUGGCGCUGAGGAGCGAAAGCCAGGGGAGCAAACGGG
rnacentral:rRNA from 1 species